rnacentral:rRNA from 1 species
AUGGUGGGGAACGACUGGAUCAACAGCUACCUGGAGGCCAUCCUGGACGCGGGGAGCGCCGCAAGGGACAUCUCGGCCGCCUCGUCUUUCGUGGGCGGCGAUGGGCCUGGCGCGGGCUCCGCGGCGGCGGAGAAGAAGCGGGACAAGGCGUCGCUCAUGCUGCGGGAGCGCGACCGCUUCAACCCGGCGUGCUACUUCGUGGAGGAGACGUCGGUGAGGAGGAGCCUGCACGAGCGUAACACAUGGAUCUGGAACCUCGCCAGGAAGAAGAAGCAGGCUGUAGUCUUCCACUAUGGAUCAAUAAGCUUGAUUGCCGAGCCUUGCCAGACAACGCAUCUGCACGCCCAUGAAGGUUUCCAAAGAGGCCGGCACGCUUCUCCUGCUGCUACUACCCCGACCGUCCUCAACUUGCUCCUGGACAGCUACCGCAGAUAA